AGUCGAGCGGAUCGAUGGAAGCUUGCUUCCUGAGAUCAGCGGCGGACGGGUGAGUAACACGUGGGCAACCUGCCCCUAAGAUCGGGAUAACUUCGGGAAACCGGAGCUAAUACCGGAUAKGACUUUUCUUCACAUGAAGGGAAGUGGAAAGACGGUUUCGGCUGUCACUUAGGGAUGGGCCCGCGGCGCAUUAGCUAGUUGGUGAGGUAACGGCUCACCAAGGCCACGAUGCGUAGCCGACCUGAGAGGGUGAUCGGCCACACUGGGACUGAGACACGGCCCAGACUCCUACGGGAGGCAGCAGUAGGGAAUCUUCCGCAAUGGACGAAAGUCUGACGGAGCAACGCCGCGUGAGUGAAGAAGGUUUUCGGAUCGUAAAACUCUGUUGUCAGGGAAGAACAAGUAYCAUAGUAACUGAUGGUACCUUGACGGUACCUGACCAGAAAGCCACGGCUAACUACGUGCCAGCAGCCGCGGUAAUACGUAGGUGGCAAGCGUUGUCCGGAUUUAUUGGGCGUAAAGCGCGCGCAGGCGGUCUUUUAAGUCUGAUGUGAAAGCCCACGGCUCAACCGUGGAGGGUCAUUGGAAACUGGGAGACUUGAGUGCAGAAGAGGAGAGUGGAAUUCCACGUGUAGCGGUGAAAUGCGUAGAGAUGUGGAGGAACACCAGUGGCGAAGGCGACUCUCUGGUCUGUAACUGACGCUGAGGCGCGAAAGCGUGGGGAGCGAACAGGAUUAGAUACCCUGGUAGUCCACGCCGUAA
rnacentral:rRNA from 1 species